rnacentral:rRNA from 1 species
UACGGGGGGGGGCAAGCGUUGUUCGGAAUUACUGGGCGUAAAGGGCUCGUAGGCGGCCCACUAAGUCAGAUGUGAAAUCCCCAAGCUUAACUUGGGAACUGCAUCCGAUACUGGAUGGCUUGAAUCCGGGAGAGGGAUGCAGAAUUCCAGGUGUAGCGGUGAAAUGCGUAGAUAUCUGGAGGAAUACCGGUGGCGAAGGCGGCAUCCUGGACCGGCAUUGACGCUGAGGAGCGAAAGCUAGGGGAGCAAACGGG